UACAUGGGGUGCAAACGUUGCUCGGAAUUAUUGGGCGUAAAGCGCACGUAGGCGGUUUGUUAAGUCGGAUGUGAAAUCCCUCGGCUCAACUGAGGAAGUGCAUCCGAAACUGGCAGGCUUGAGUACUAAAGAGGGUCGCGGAAUUCCCGGUGUAGCAGUGAAAUGCGUAGAUAUCGGGAGGAACACCAGUGGCGAAGGCGGCCUUCUGGACCAGUACUGACGCUCAUGCACGAAAGCGUGGGGAGCAAACAGG
rnacentral:rRNA from 1 species